UUGCCUGCAUGCAUGUAUGUGCACCAUGUGACCGCCUGGUUUCUGAGGAAGUCAGAAGAGAGCAUCAGAUUCCUCGGAACUGGAGUUAGAGGUGGUCGUGAGCCACGCCAUGGGUGCUCGGUAUGCAGGUCCUCUUCAAGAGCAUAUGAAUUGAAAAAGGCUUUUAAGAAACAUCUGCGCAGAGAAACCGCUACCUCGAAAGGAGUCCAACCUCAUAUUUAUACUGUAUAAAUUAAAACGGAAAAUAAAAGCCCCAUUUG